rnacentral:other from 1 species
AUUUUGCUGCCCCCGCACGCGGACUGCCGAAAUUCUUCAACCUACGAUUUAACUCGGGAGCUGGAAUACGCGCGCCGACCACAUGCCCGGAGCGAUCCGGGACUUGGAACGCCGCGGCUACGGUUCCCACCUUCAGAAACUGAGGGUCGAAAGAGUCAAGGCGAUACGGCGGGGGCGGUUUUUGA